rnacentral:lncRNA from 1 species
UUUUUUGAAGGUUAAUGAUCAAAUUUAACUUUUUUUUAAAAGGUCGCAGGCCAAAUUUAACUAAAAAAUAAAAAUAAAAACCAAAUUAACAAAAAAAUUAUAAACAUCAAGGGCUACAUUUAUCAUCAUCUUUAUAGAUUUUGUAAAAUAUGCUUUAAAAUGCAAAGGUUGCUUUAGCCGAGUGGUUAAGGGGUGUGCUUGCUAAGUAUAUAAGAGUUUGAAUCUAUCAAAUGUUGUGUUUUCAACAUUUUGUUUCAACUGUAAAUUAGUAUUGUAAGACCCAAAUUUUGCCCGGGCCCAUACCAGCCAAAUAAACCCAAAUAAUAAAAACAAAAAAAAGUCCAUUUACAUUAAACCAACAACCCUAGCCGCAGGCCUAGCCACUGGCGCCGCUCCAACUCCCCGCAUGCCGCACGCCCCUGCUCUUAGCCGUCAACCGCCGCAUGCGUACCAGGCCUCCUCCACGCGUGUCAGAACACCUACAAAACAGCAAAAACACGCAACAACGAGCAGCCAAAUAGCAAAGUGACAAAAAAAAAAGAAACUAAAAGGCUGUAAAUCGGCUAUAAAAGCCGAAAAUCAGACGAUUGUACUUCUUCUUCCUCUCUUUUACGAACACUAGAAAAUCAAAAGGAAACAAAGAAAUAUUGAAAGGUUGAUUUUAAUCUUCAAACUGCUUGCUAUCCAUUUAUUUACUUAUUCAUUCUUUUUUAUUUCUCAAGAUCUCCAUUUAUUUACUUAUUCAUUCUUUUUUUUUUUAUUUCUUAAGAAUCAAUCUCAAUCAGACGAUUGUUUUGUGAACAAGACAUACCAAAAGCAGAACGAUUUUUAGAGGAUUUUUCCUUUUUGUUUUUUUUUUUGCAUUAUAAUUUCAGCAUAUUUUAUUUCACCUUUUUUUCUCUUCUUGUGCAUUCAAAAAUAAAAAAUGUAAGAAAAGAGAAAUACGAGAAACUUACCUCCGUGGUCGCUUGUCGUCGGCCACCGGCGAUAGUGGUGGUGCGGCGAAGUCGGCGGCGGGGUUCGUAGCCUUGGAACAGAAAAGGGAACCCCCUUUCAUUUUUUUGGGAUUCUUAGAUUGUCUGAAAGAAGAGAGAAAGAAGUGGGGGCUAAUUUCUUUUUUAGGGUUCUAUUUAUUUAUUUAUUUUUGUUUUCUAUUUAUAAUAUUCCAUAGGGCGUCGUUAAUGGAAGAAAGACCUGUGCACUAUUGCCCUAAUGGGUAAUUUGUGCCUUUGGUCCCCCAAAUUCUGCGGCACCCUCAAUGAAACCUUUUGUUUCCUUUAAUUUUGGCCAUUGAAUUUUGCGCCCUUUUCAACCUGGUCCCACGCAAAACGAUGCGCAUACGGGACGGGGAAUAUUCGCAAUCGAUCCCCCAUGUCCUCAACGCCUUUUAUUUCAGCCCCCUAGCCACCUGUUAUAUUUAUUUACAGUUGCAAUCCCCAGAUUCUGUUCCGUUUCCAUUUUCAUCCUUAGUUCUUUAUUUUAUAAAUCUUUCAAAUUAUUUUGUUUAUUAUUAUUAGUCUCCUU